GACUCCCAAUCCAGAUGGCUUAGGGCACUAGGUGUAAAGACAUCCUAACAGGCUUAAUAACUCAAGUCAACUAGGCUCCAAGGCUGAAUUAGUCAUUCAAAGUUUAAUCUCAGUCAUCCUCAUCUUUUUACGCGAACACUCGCUGCUUGCCAAGCAAGAGGCCUGAUUACUCAGUGAGAAGACUUACAAUAAACUUCUUUUAUUAUUAUUAUUAUUUUAUUUUAUUUUAUUUCUUUUUUUUAGGGUGUUCAUCAUAUAUAUAACUUUAAAUUAUCCAGAAGAUUAAAAGUAUUCAUAUUAGUUGCAAGUUUAUAUACUUCAUUAUUCAUGUGCUUACGUGUAGGUGUUAAAUCAUCUUCUAUCAUGUUAGCAGAAGACAGAUGGAACGAAAACUCAAGCAAGAACUGCUAUCAUAUUCCUUAACUCAAACCUAUUGUCAAAGCAAUUCCUAGUUUAUACAGCCAAAAAGAUUAGAAUUUGAGUUAAAAAUUUGAAAUCCUUUUUUUUUUUGCAUGA
rnacentral:lncRNA from 1 species